GCUGAGUGUGACAUCAUAUGGUAUGGAAUAUCCCUUUGGUUGGUUUAGGUCAGCUGCCCCGGAGAUCUUUCUUUCUCACUUUUUUUGCUCACUCCCUAGGAGGGUUGAGAGAGUCCUGAUGCUGUGCCAGCACUUCUCAGCAGCAGACACAACACCGGUGUGAUACCACUGCUGUUGUAGCUACAAGAUUAAUUAUAAAAC